UACCAUGAGCUGCGGUGGAGGCCACAGAUGUGGCUCAGAUCUGGUGUUGCUGUGGCUGUGAUAGAGGCCAGCAGCUGCAGUUCCCAUUCAACACUUAGCCUGGGAACAUGUUUAUGCGGCAGGUGCAGCCACUAAAUAAAUACAUACAUAGACUAAGUGAGCUACGUGUCAUGUAAAAUACUUAGUAGCCAUAUUUUAAAAAAAUAAAAAGCUGUGGGUAAAAUAUUGACCUAACACUGGAAACCAUCUAUAACGGGAAAAAUCACUUUAUAUAUAUAAAAAUAAAAAUAAAAAGUAAAAAGAAACAGAUGUAAUUAUGUUAAUGCAUCUUACUUAAUUCAACAGGAAAUCAGUAUAAAGUUUGCUGGGAUAGUUUACAUUUUUUUCUGCCAAGCCUUUGUAAUCAGUCACUUUUACAUUUAUGGCCCUUGAUUCAGACACAAAUUUUUCAGCAGAAAUUCUUUUUUAAAAAAAAUUUUUAUUCCACUGUAUUUGUUUUACAAUGUUGUGUGACCUUCUUGAUAUCUACUUAGAUUUUGUGAAUUUUACAGUUGGAAAAGUAGAUUCAUGUCCUCAAGCUGUUCCAAAUAUACUUAAACAUUGCCCAAUAACUGAAUCAAUGAACAGUUUUCAGUAAGUGCAUCCUAAGUGCUCAAUGGUCAUGGGUGGCCUGUGGCUACUGCACUGGACCGAGCAGUUCCACAACUUGAUCUAGGGGGUGGGUACAUGGAGAGUUCACUGCAAAACUUCACCCUGUGCUUAGGUAACUUGUGCCCUUUCCUAUACGUAUAUGGAAUUAUUCAAACUAAAAAAGAAUUUAUUGCUUUGGGAGUAAGCCUGGGAGUGAGAAACAUGGGAUCAGGAGAUAAUUUCUUUUUAUUUUAAGAGCUUUUUCACUAUUUUCUUUGCUAUAUAUACAUAUAACUUGUUCAAUAUACUCUUAAUUGUAUUAAAAAAAAAAAAAAAAAAACCUUUUCAACUUUCGCUGUCUUCCUGGUAAUGAGAUGACGUCGAUCCACUAAUUGACGUGGACGCAGAGCCAUACCUCUGCCUCGGGCCAAGUUCACCCCAGAGGCUGGGCUGGAAACAUAGUUGUAAUUCCGAGGUGUCUUGAUGCCGUAUAUUAGUCCACUUGGAUAUAAGGCUUUUUCGAAAACAAUAGCUACAGUGUUUGGUUUUGCUCUUUUUGUUUGUUUGGCGUUUUCCUUCAGAGUAAAUGAAUUUAAAUUCACAACAGCCCUAUGAAGCAGUUGUGAGCACAGCCCCUGGGGCCCACAUGAAAGACGGAGGCACAGGAAGUUUACCUGAUUGGCACAUCUGAGAAGUGGCCGUGUGCAGACUUGAAUUCAAAGCUCUGAACACAGGGAUGCUUAGCCUGUCGAACACUGGCUGGAUCCCUUUGUAGAACCGUGGUACUGUGUCAGCACAUAGCUUAAAACAGUCAUCGAUGUAUGCAUGUCCAGCCGGUCUCUGUAUUUCAGUAUAGUGAAAACGGAAGGAAACUACCUAAGAAUAAAACCAUUCUGUCUCCUUGCUGUGCUCGGCGCAUGGCCACCCAAACGUCAGCUGUCUGGUGUCUGCUCCUGAGUUCCCUCUCACCGCCAGCUCUGCUCCACCCCAGAUGCUGAGCAAUUGGUGUGGUCCCCGCGUGCUGAGCACGGCAGCUGCAAAGGUCUGCCAACGCCCUGACCUGCCAUCCGACACCCGCCUGCUCACGCGUGUCCUUGGCUGGUCUUUGCACCUGCCGCCUCUGCGCCAUCACUGGCUUCACUCUCGCCUGGAAUCCCCUUCAGUGACUUUUGGAUUUUCUGCUUGAGAAGGUGGCUGAUCGUUUUGUUAUUGAGCAAAAAUUGCAUUAGCUCUGUGUAUAUUCUCAGAAUAGAAAUAUGGAAAACUCAAUACUCUGCCUUCUAAUAGAAAAUCCCAAUUCCCUCUGACCUUCUGUGCUCUCAGUGAUGCAUAAAGCCUGGGAUUUCCGACGCAUUUGUUCUCCUGUGCUUCCCCAAGAGUCACCAGAUCCACAGGCUGAAAGAUAGGACCCUUUGAUUCAAAGUGACCGUGAUAAGUAAUAAACAAAACUCAAGACUCAGAGAGUUUUCCUCAGCAAUUGGAAACCGAAUUAGCUCAAUAUGUUUCUAAUGCAGGCUUGUCUCAUUAGUUCAGGCAAAGAGGAAUUUUCAGUUGUGUGGAUGAUAAGAAAGCACGUGAUCUAAGACAGGUUUGUCAUAGCUCAGGGGCCUGCAAUGCCUUUCUUAUGGGACGUCUAUAAAGAGUAAGUUUCAAAAACUGUAAUUGUAAUGUAUACAUGUAAGGAUAACCUGACCCCCUUGCUGUACAGUGGGAAAAUAAAAAAA
rnacentral:lncRNA from 1 species